UAAGAAAGAUAUAAAAAAUAGACGAACAUAAACCUAAAAUAAACAAAGAAAGUUUUAAUAAAAAAAAUACAUAAUAAUAAAACAAAGUAGCGAAAGCGAAAAAGAAAAGUAAAAAAAAAGUAAAUCCAUGUUAUUGUACCUUUUGUAUCAGGGAUAAUCAACUAAUUUCCAGAAGGCACGCCUCUCGAAAAAAAAAAAGCCAUGUUAAUUAAAAGCGACCCCUAACGUAGAAAAGUUAGAAUAAAGUUAAACAUAGAUUUCACAAGAAUCCGAUUUUUUUAUAUCUAGUUGCUAGACAAACUAAUUCAAUUAGAAACCCUAAAACUAAAUAUUAAGCUAUAUAAUAAAUUAUGAAUUUAAGGUUAAAUGACUUAGAAGAUAAGUUCUAAAUCAAAAGUAAAUUUUUAAUAAAAAAUAAAGACAAGUAUUAUUAAAAAUUUAAAGCUCAAAAAUUUGUUAUAAUAGACCCCCCCCCACCACCACCAAAAAUAUUUAAUAAAAAUUAAAUUACCCCAAAAAACUAGCUAAUAACAUUUACAAUAAAAAAAAAAAAAGAAAAAAUGAUUAUAUUAAUAUAUAAAAAGAAAUAAAUAAAAGAACUAGGCAAAACCAGAUUUCAACUGUUUAACAAAAACAUAACCCAAUGAACCCAAAUAAUGGGCAACUUCUGCUCAAUGAAGAACUAAAUAGCCGCAGUAUAUUAACUGUGCUAAGGUAGCAUAAUAAUUAGUUUUUUAAUUAAAAACUAGAAUGAAUGAAAAAAUGAAAAUUUAACUUUCUUUAUUUAAUUAAUAAAAAUUAAACUUUAAGUAAAAAAGCUUAAAUGCUUGAAAAAGACAAAAAGUCCCUUUAGAGCUUUACAAAAAAAAGAUUGUUAAAAACCUUCAUUUGUUUAGUUGGGGAGACAGUAAAACAAAAACAACUUAUAUUUAAAUUCCACACCAGAUAGUGAAAAUGCAAAAUAACCUAAAAACAGAAAAAUAAACAAGUUACCUAAGGGAUAACAGCGCACAACUUUUUAAAAGAUCAAAUUAACAAAACGUAAUGCGACCUCGAUGUUGGAUUAAGGACAAUACAAGCAGAAAAAUACUUGAAAUUGAGUCUGUUCGACUCUUGAAACCUUACAUGAUCUGAGUUCAGACCGGCGUAAGCCAGGUCAGUUUACAUCUUUUCAAAUAAAUUUUAAUAUAGUACGAAAGGAUUUAAUAAAAAAAUAAAAUU
rnacentral:rRNA from 1 species